rnacentral:rRNA from 1 species
CCAAUAGCGUAUAUUAAAGUUGUUGCAGUUAAAAAGCUCGUAGUUGAACUUCGGGAUCAAUUAGUUGGUCAUGCCUUGGUAUGUACUGAUUUUAUUGGUUCUCACCUUCUAAAGAACUAUAAUGUCAUUUAUUUGAUGUUAUAGGGAAUUAGGACUGUUACCUUGAAAAAAUUAGAGUGUUUAAAGCAGGCUCACGCUUGAAUACAUUAGCAUGGAAUAAUGAAAUAGGACAUCGCAUUCUAUUUUGUUGGUUUCUAGGAUCGAUGUAAUGAUUAAUAGGGAUAGUUUGGGGCAUUAGUAUUCAAUUGUCAGAGGUGAAAUUCUUGGAUUUAUUGAAGACUAACUACUGCGAAAGCAUUUGCCAAGGAUGUUUUCAUUAAUCAAGAACGAAAGUUAGGGGAUCGAAGACGAUCAGAUACCGUCGUAGUCUUAACCAUAAACUAUGCCGACUAGGGAUCGGAUGAUGUUGAUUUUUUAAUGACUCAUUCGGCACCUUACG